GAUGAACGCUGGCGGCGUGCCUAAUACAUGCGAGUCGAGCGAACAGACGAGGAGCUUGCUCCUCUGACGUUAGCGGCGGACGGGUGAGUAACACGUGGAUAACCUACCUAUAAGACUGGGAUAACUUCGGGAAACCGGAGCUAAUACCGGAUAAUAUAUUGAACCGCAUGGUUCAAUAGUGAAAGACGGUUUUGCUGUCACUUAUAGAUGGAUCCGCGCCGCAUUAGCUAGUUGGUAAGGUAACGGCUUACCAAGGCGACGAUGCGUAGCCGACCUGAGAGGGUGAUCGGCCACACUGGAACUGAGACACGGUCCAGACUCUUACGGGAGGCAGCAGUAGGGAAUCUUCCGCAAUGGGCGAAAGCCUGACGGAGCAACGCCGCGUGAGUGAUGAAGGUCUUCGGAUCGUAAAACUCUGUUAUUAGGGAAGAACAAAUGUGUAAGUAACUAUGCACGUCUUGACGGUACCUAAUCAGAAAGCCACGGCUAACUACGUG
rnacentral:rRNA from 1 species